rnacentral:rRNA from 1 species
GCGGUAAUUCCAGCUCCAAUAGCGUAUAUUAAAGUUGUUGCAGUUAAAAAGCUCGUAGUUGAAACUUGGGCCUGGCUGGCAGGUCCGCCUCACCGCGUGUACUUGUCCGGCCGGGCCUUCCUUCUGGAGAACCUCAUGCCCUUCACUGGGCGUGC